UACAGAGGGUGCGAGCGUUGUCCGGAAUCACUGGGCGUAAAGGGCGCGUAGGUGGCACGGGUAGUCGUCGGUGAAAGCUCAGGGCUCAACCCUGAGUCGGCCGGUGAUACUCCCGAGCUCGAGUGUGGUAGAGGCCAAUGGAAUUCCGGGUGUAGCGGUGGAAUGCGUAGAGAUCCGGAAGAACACCGGUGGCGAAGGCGGUUGGCUGGGCCACAACUGACACUGAUGCGCGACAGCGUGGGGAGCAAACAGG
rnacentral:rRNA from 1 species